CUCUUGUUUUCCUGAAAGUUGUUUUUUAUUUAUUUGUUUGUUUAAAAAAGCUUUCUACAGGGUCACAAGACCAGGGUUUGAAAAAUUUCCCUAACACUAGCUCAACAACCAAGUCCAGGUGAAAAAAGUGCAUUGCCACUCCCACUGGAAAACAAAACACAAAAUACGCUCAGGCAAUGCAAAGGAAUAAAACAGUUGUGCGUUGUAUGUAACUGUAGCGUUUGGCAAUCAAAAUUCUGUUUAAUAAGCUUUUUAAAAAAAAAAAAGUAACUCUCUGCCUCUUGUGCUCUUCUUAUACUUUUUUCUGGUUUCAUUCCACACUCUCUCCUACUAUAAGUUAUGUAAUAUUUUGAGUAUAGUAUUACCUCAUUUUUCCUUUUCUCUGUAUCUUGUUCGUUCUUUUUUCUGUAUUGUAUUCCUUUUUCUUUCCCCAAACUUUGUAUGUUCUGUCUCACAAUUCUAAUUUAUCUUCUCUAUCUCAUCCUCUGUUGCACAUUUCCCCUCACAUUCACAUCUCUAUACCUUUAUGCACCUUCAUCCAGCUCAUGCACAUGACAUGCACGUCUCUCUCUCCCUUUCUCCCCAUUCCUGGUUCUUCCCCCUCUUACUUUCCAGUUAAAACAGCAAUGGCCCUUGAUUUCCUCUUUCUGAUGAAAGGGCAGUGGGUUCCGACCAUUCUGCUCUCCUACUCCCAUCUUAAGCAAAUGGGACUGGCCCCUGGAAUGUUCUUUCAUGCUCUUCCUUCCUUUUAAAGGAGCAGUAGGAGCCCCUAUGCAGCCCUAAUCCCAUGCUUUCCCCCUUCCUGUAGGAGGAAGAAGCUAGGAGCGGCAAAGGCUUUGUUCGCUGGCCUCAUUCAGUUCGCUCACCUGCUCCAACUUUUAACUUCCCCUGAAUUGGGAAAAUGGGUAAUUUUUUCAAGCCCAGCCUGUAGUAUGCCUUCGGCUAUACCUCCAUUAGGAUUCUCAGUGAAUCUCCCACCAAUAUUAGCACUAAUGGGACUCCUAGUGUAGAUGAGGCUUUUGCAUCUGAAUCAGUUUCUAACUUCCCUGAUAGAUUAAGUUGACAGGAUGCUAGUUAGAGGUAUUUUUGAAAAAUUGUCUGUCUGAAACCAUUGUUUUCAACAUUGUCUUAAGAAGAUGCCCCAAAUUAGUAUUUUGGUGCUUGUCUCUUCCUACAUAUUUGUUCCACUUUUUGUUUUACUUUAGAUGUUUAAGGGAUGUCGAAUUUGGCCUUCAGCAAAACAAGGGAAGGGCUUGUGGGUCUCUGAAGAUGUAUUUUGAGCUGUCAUGCUAAAUGACAUUGUGGAAAAUAUUUUGUAUAAUUUGCAAUCAGCCAGAGGCCUUGAGUAGGAUGGAGCCCCAUUGUGCUAGGCACUAUACAAAUAUAUAAUAAACAAGUCUCUGCCUCCAAAAGGCGUACAGUCUUGUUGAAUAACAACAUCAUUCUUUAUCCAAAGUAUUUAUUGGGUGUUGAGGGUAAACAGACUUCAGACUAAAAAGUGGAUUUUAAACAGUCACCCUACUUGGCUACUAAGCUUUCAACUGUUGUAAUUACUAAAUAUCAUUAGUUUUCCAGUGACCUUAAGCCAUAUUUACCCAGGGAAUUUUCCAAAAAAAAGCAUUACUAAUUCCUGUUCACAGCACUGUUAAUAGCAUUGGUAGCUGUAAUGCAGCUGGCUCUCUGGUAAUAGUUUUCAGCACUGUCUUGACACAUUGCUGCCAUGUAAUCAUGCUGAGCAAUGUUAUCUAUGACUUUACCAUGUUGGAGUCUGGUUGCAUUUAAUGUUGUUCCAUGUGUAGAUAGGGCUUUAGAAUAGAAAUAAAGGUUGACCAAAAGGUGGUGAAUCUUGAGCUGCUCUCCUAUAACUUGAAACUAAGAAGCCCUGGGUUGAAUUAAGAACUUGACUGACCAGCAAAUUUUAAACUUGGUUAAACUGUACUGUUAUCUUAGAGGCAGGGUUUAAAGUCAGUGGGGGAGGGAGGAACUGUGGUGGAACACAGUUACUUCUUUAUAAACAGCAGACUUUGGCUUCAUUUCUCAGGCUCGAGGGAGUGCAUUUUUCUCAGGGUUCCCCUUUCUUAGUGGCUGGUGAGGUGAGGACUUGCCAAGCAGAGGAAUCUGAAUUGUGAGCAAGAGGAAUUGCUAUUGUCUGCCUGGGAAAUUUCUGGUCCUUCAUGCCUUCUUCCCAGUAGGUGGAACAGCAGCAUCAGCUGAUCAGAGAUGAAGUCCCUUAUCUGUCUUUCCUGCAAAAGUUCUUUCCAUUAACAGGUCCAAGAGGAGGAGAGGCUAGAAGAGCAGACACCAAAUCCUUCAGCAGUUCUCUUCCUUUCUCCACAUUCCAGAGGGGAACAAUUCCAGGAUUCCUGUAACAGCUUAUCUCCCUCUCCCUUCAGUGUCCUGUAGUGAAGUAGAUAUGGGCUUAAGUAAAUUUUGGUGAGUGCAACACAUCACCACAAGAUGAUGCAGUGCCACAUCACAACAUUACUUUGAGACCUGUCACCAAGACCACCAAAACUGACCCCAGAGGAGACCCCUCAGACUGCGUGAUUCAACUCCUACUCCUGUCUGGCUGUGCUGAUCUGUUGGGGCAGUAGGCUUCAAUUGUUUCAGCUGUUGAUAAACAAAGAGGCAUUUAGCCUGAAUGGAAGGUGGUUAUGUUUGUGACUUGGCAAACCAACUAACCAUAACUUAAUAAGUGGCAUUGCAAUUGUAAUCAGGAUAAUUCAUUUGUGUGCAUAUUAAAGAAAAUUAAUUAGCCUAGCAAUCUCAAACCCAUUCACUUUGUAUCGAUAAGAAUAAUUACGAAGUGUUUGUCUUUUUAUUUAUAUCCUGUUAGAAGUUUUCCAAUGUAAUCAAACUAGAUUGUAGAUAUUAAGUCCCAUUCAUGUCUUAAUUGCCUUUACAUUAUAUAUGCUACUGUAUAAAGUUAACCUUAAGAUCAAAGAUAUGAGAUAUUGCAGGAAACUAAUAAUAUCUAUGUUGUCUUCAUUUUCUCUAUCCCUGUUACAAUAAAUGACCGGCAGUGGCCUUAUGUAAAUCGAUGUAACUAGAUUACCUGUCUAUGCACAGAAAAUAGAAUUUUAACUUCAAAGGAUGGGUCAGUGUGUGCUCAAGAAAGAUCUGCAGUUGAAUGCUGUGUUCAAAACACUUGACCGCUUGUUUAAGCUAUAAAAGAGAAAUCUCAGGCCUGAUGCUGCCAUCUCUAGUUUGCUGAACUUUAAACAGGGAAAUUUUAAGCUGUGGAGCUGAGAUUUUCCAAGUAGUUACUGGGAAUACCCUGGAAAAUGCAUAGAAAGACUCUAACGUACUCUAUAUCUAAGCUGUCAUUUGAAGUCUACUGUUUGGAAUGCUUCCAGAGAGAGUUUUGUGCAAACCAGCACACUCACCAUCAAUGCUACAAUUCUCAUCUAAGGACUUGGCAGUCAUUUGUAAUGUAUGUGAUUCUUUUAACCAUUUAAUAACUCUUCUUUU